UCCUCAAAUUCCCAAAUAAGCAUUUUAACGGGUUUUGGAAUAGGACCAUUCGCCUCUUCGAACUCCUCUAAUCGAAGAGUACACAAAAAAGAGGGUUCAUUUAUCUUGAAACCUUUACUAAAUUGCAUGGCUGAGAUACUCUUCUCGCCCAUCCUCCCAACCUGUGUAGGGAUGACACACGGCUUAUUACCCAUCAUCAUUAACGAAUCGGAAUAUGGCAACACUGCUGUCUUAGUAUCCCGAAGAAAUUCCAAUCCCAGAAUAAGCUUGAAAUCAUCCAUCUGAACUGCAGAUAAAUUUGUCCUUCCCUCGAAAGGACCUGCUUUGAUCAACACCGAUUUUGCCACUCCAGCUAUUGGUUGAGCAGCGGAGUUGAUUGCUUUGACUUUUCCACUACCCUUUUCUAGAACCAGUCCGAGCCGCUCUACUUCGGUACAUGCAAGGUAGUUGUGGGUAGCACCAGUAUCCACCAUAGCCCUGAUUGGCUUCCCAUUGAUUUUUACAUCAAUGAACAUUAAGCCUUUGGCCCUACAAAUACGAGCCUUCGCUUCUUCCAUCUUUGCUUCAAUGGGACAUCAUCCUUUUCGACAACCCGAUGCGAUAGUGUGUUGUACCGAUGUGAAAAUGCCCCAACUACUUCCUCAUCCUCUUCAGAGUCAGUCUCAUUAUUACAAUUAGCUUGCGGGACCUCUUGUUUCGAACUUGGCCCGCCACUUGCUAAUUGACAAUAUGCAUUCACCAUCCGCUUCUGAGGACACUCCGACACCCGAUGAGGUCCUUCACAUAAAAAGCACUUCAAUUUGAGAGUGGCAUCAGUUCGGCCCUCCGUUGCUUUCCCUUUGUUCCAGUUGUUACUAUUACUGCCGUUAAAAUUUCCCUGACGGCUGUUAUGAUAAUUUCCUUGAAAGCCACGGGUGCUUUGAUAGGCUCCUUCUCUAUUUUGAGAGUAGCGCUCUCCCCCAUUUGGGUUCGAGCUGGGUCUGUAAGAUCUGUUACCACC
rnacentral:lncRNA from 1 species